rnacentral:lncRNA from 1 species
CCUUGGAAGGUUGAAAUCAGAUAUAGGUCCAGAUAUGGAAUUGUUUUGAAGAUACAACCAAGUGAGUCUUCUCAGGUUUUGAAGUGCAGGUGGGAUAAUACCAGAGAAAGAGUUGAAAGAAAUAUCCAAUGCAAUGAGUUUAGGUGAGACAGAAGAAGGAAUUAGACCUGAGAAGUUGUUGUGUUGCAAGUGUGCAACUUGGAGUGAAUGAAUGGAGAGGAUGUUAGAAGGAAUCUUUCCUCUAAGACCAUUGGAAUGAAGGCUCAAGACCCGGAGAGCAUCAAGUUUUCCUAUGCUGUUCUCUGGAAUGGAACCUGUCAAUCCAAUUCCUGGAAGAUGGAGGCCAAUGACACGAGUCCGAUUCGAGUUGCAAGUCACGCCAAUCCAUGUGGUGCAAAUUGAAAAAGAGUCAUUCCAGUUGAGCCUUGGGCCAUGUGGAAUAGUAGAAAGCUCGAAGCGGCAUGACAUUACUGUGGCAUCCAAUUCUCCCCACAAUCUCCAUCUGCUGCUCAAACUCCUUCUUUCCUACCAUAACUUCUUUCAACCUUUUAACCACCACCGUUGUCCCUUCCUCCAAAACAGCCUUAUAUGCCGUUCCAUAGCUCCCCUUUCCAAGAACUUCAGCCGAAGCCUUUAGCAAAUCCUCAAGGUCAAAGCUAUAAGAGCAUCCUUCAAAGAAAAACAACUUGUUCUUUUCAGCCUCUUGCACACCACUUCCAAAACUCUUUGAAACCUCAGUCUUCCCAGCACAAGAUGAGGCUUUUCCCUUCAGUAUGCUGCUGCCUUUUCUGUUUUUCCCCUUAAAACAGCACACUAUGAUCACUAAAACUAGUAGAGAGAUAAAGGCAAUGCCUCCAAUGACUAGAGCAAGUAUAGGAGCUAGGCCGAACUUUUUCUUAUGAGUGGUAGGUUCUUGAUUUUGGGUGGUUGAUGGAGAGAGUGGCUGGUAAUCCGGAGAAGGGGAGAUUAAAGAGCAAUGAUUGAGAGGUGGACCGCAUAAGAGAGAGUUCCCGACAAAAGAAGUAUAAGGGAAUGUCUUGAUGGAAAUUGGAAUUGAUCCAUUCAAGUUGUUAUAGCUCAAAUUCAAAUAUUUUAGCCUUGGAAGGUUGAAAUCAGAUAUAGGUCCAGAUAUGGAAUUGUUUUGAAGAUACAACCAAGUGAGUCUUCUCAGGUUUUGAAGUGCAGGUGGGAUAAUACCAGAGAAAGAGUUGAAAGAAAUAUCCAAUGCAAUGAGUUUAGGUGAGACAGAAGAAGGAAUUAGACCUGAGAAGUUGUUGUGUUGCAAGUGUGCAACUUGGAGUGAAUGAAUGGAGAGGAUGUUAGAAGGAAUCUUUCCUCUAAGACCAUUGGAAUGAAGGCUCAAGACCCGGAGAGCAUCAAGUUUUCCUAUGCUGUUCUCUGGAAUGGAACCUGUCAAUCCAAUUCCUGGAAGAUGGAGGCCAAUGACACGAGUCCGAUUCGAGUUGCAAGUCACGCCAAUCCAUGUGGUGCAAAUUGAAAAAGAGUCAUUCCAGUUGAGCCUUG